GACGAACGCUGGCGGCGUGCUUAACACAUGCAAGUCGAACGAUGAAGCGGGUGCUUGCACUCGUGGAUUAGUGGCGAACGGGCGAGUAACACGUGAGUAACCUGUCCUUUUCUUUGGGAUAACGGCUGGAAACGGCUGCUAAUACUGGAUAUUCAGGCUGCAUCGCAUGGUGUGGUUUGGAAAGGUUUUUUCUGGGAUUGGGUGGGCUCGCGGCCUAUCAGCUUGUUGGUGGGGUGAUGGCUUACCAAGGCUUUGACGGGUAGCCGGCCGGGGAGGGUGGUCGGUCGCAGUGGGACUGAGAUACGGCCCAGACUCCUACGGGAGGCAGCAGUGGGGAAUAUUGCACAAUGGACGAAAGUUUGAUGCAGCGACGCCGCGUGGAGGGUGUAGGCCUUCGGGUUGUGAACUCCUUUUUCUCGCGAAAAAGGCACAGUUUUGGCUGUGUUGAUGGUAGUGGGGGAAGAAGCGCCGGCUAACUACGUG
rnacentral:rRNA from 1 species